rnacentral:snRNA from 1 species
GCAUGUGAGGGCGAUCUGGCUGCAACGUGUGUCACCCCAUUGAUCGCCUGGGCUGAUUCAGCUGAUCUGGCUGGCUGGGUGGGUGUCCCCUUCCUCCCUCACGGCUCCAUGUGCAUCCCUCCUAAAGCUGCGCUUCAGCUGAAAAGGACGACCUUCCCUGUUAGAGGAGGACUAGUCUUCACUCAAGGGUAUGAGUAGCUGCACUCCCCUGCUGGACCCUCCAAGCAAGCUUUAAAGAAGCGUCCAGCUAACAAAUGAAGAAAAACUGAUGGGAUUAGAAUGUUUAUAUUCCAACUCUU